UCCGGUUUAUCACCGGCAGUCCCUGCAGAGUCCUCAGCAUAACCUGUUAGCAACAGCAGGCAGGGGUUGCGCUCGUUGCGGGACCUAACCCAACAUCUCACGACACGAGCUGACGACAGCCAUGCGGCACCUGUGCACGAGUCCCGAAGGAGGGCGCAUGUUUCCAUGCGCUUUCCCGUGCAUGUCAAGCCCUGGUAAGGUUCUUCGCGUUGCGUCGAAUUAAACCACAUGCUCCACCGCUUGUGCGGGCCCCCGUCAAUUCCUUUGAGUUUCAGCCUUGCGGCCGUACUCCCCAGGCGGGGCACUUAAUGCGUUAGCGACGACACUCAGGGGGUCGCUCCCCCAAGCAUCUAGUGCCCAUCGUUUACGGCGUGGACUAC
rnacentral:misc_RNA from 1 species